rnacentral:lncRNA from 1 species
UACCAGGAUUUACAUUAUUCUUAGCCACAGGCAUAUUUUCCACCAGCUUUUAACAACCCACCACCUCCUUUUCCCCUUCCCUCCCACACAAUAACUGGGAUGACUUGUCUAGAUCUUAGGCAACAAUUCUCUUAGCACAUCAGCUCCUGGAAACAAAUGCACUUAACCAGAAAAACAGGGACAUCAACCAGCAAAGAUGCAUCCUCAUUUAAUAGAGCUUGAAAUUACUAUAAUCUGUAAAGUACAGCGAGAAGAAGAAGUUUCACCUGCCUGCACAUCUGUCGUUGACUCUCCAUCUGACUUGGAGGGACUCUGAGGGACCAACCUGAGCCUGAGAAGAGGCAAGAUUCCCCUUCAAGGACACACUGGGAACUUACGGACCUCUUUCUCCAUGGUGCAGAGCGCAGAGGUGAACAAACAGACGCAUAAUAGCUCUUGAGCUUGCCAUUGGGAAGUGAAAAUCAACUGCUUGAAUAAAUGUAAGGACUCAGGUAGACAUCACCUUGUGACUCAACAGCAGCCAAUAAGAUGGAAAUAAAGGCCAUGAAGUUAUCGGAUGGCAUCUACAAGGAAUACUUAGAUGAGGAGGUGACUCUGGUAGCAAUUGUUCUUUUGUCUUUCUCACCUUCCUUCUUGUCCUGUCUGGGAUGCUGAAGUGAUGGCUGGUAUACAGAUGCCCUGUUGUGAUGUUGAGAUAAACAUGAGAAUAAAAGUCGGCGAUUACAGAUGGCAGAGAAGAGAGAGAAAGAUAGGAUGUAGGUGGAUAUUGACGGAACUAAGUUUCUAUUGCACAAGUUCUACCACCAACCUCUGGACUUCAUGAUAUGUGAGGGAGAAAUAAACUCCUAUUUUAGAAGAGAUCUAUGUUACCUGCAACUGAACGGAAUGCUUAAUUGGCACAUCCUAUGUGCUCCAAACCUUCCUUAAUUUCUGUGUGUAAGGCAUACUUAGUCUUUACCCAUUAUUCUGUUCACAUUCAUUCACUUGAUCAGCCUCCCAACUCUAUGGUAAAGAGUUUACUACAGUUUACUCUAUUAGUAAGGGAGAUUCUGGAGCAAGCCCCACAAAUCAUAGAUUGAAUACCCAUUCAUUAAGAGAGAGAUUUAAAGAUACUUCUAUCCAAACACAUUUUAAAUUUCCAGCACCUUUGAGGUGGUGGAGGUUCAUGGUGGUUGAUAGGGUUUAAAUGACUUGUGAUUCAAGCUCCAUAUUACAAUGUAACAGUGCAAAAGUUCAUUUUUUUAAAUUUAUUUUACUUUAAGUUCUGGUAUACAUGUGUAGAACAUGCGGGUUUGUUACAUAGGUAUACAUGUGCCAUGGUGGUUUGCUGCACCUAUCAAACCGUCACCUAGGUUUUAAGAACCACAUGCAUUAGGUAUUUGACCUAAUGCUCUCCCUCAUGUUGCCCCCCAACUCCCUGACAGGGCCCAGUGUGUGAUGUUCCCCUCCCUGUGUCCAUGUGUUCUCAUUGUUCAACUCCCACUUAUGAGUGAGAACAUGUGGUGUUUGAUUUUCUGUUCCUGUGUUAGUUUGCUGAGAAUGAUGGCUUCCAGCUUCAUCCAUGUCCCUGCAAAGGACACGAACUCAUUCUUUUUUAUGGCUUCAUAAUAUUCCAUGAGUCUGGAUUUGGUUACAGAUAGAGCUGGACAAGCCUUAGCUAUAUCUAAUGGCUUUUGACAUGUUAUAUCAAUUUCUUACUGCUUUUGUAAAUGAAUAUAUUAAGAAGAAAAAAUUACAAAUGACCCUUUCUUCACAAACUUUUAGGGUAAUCAAGUUCAGUUAUUAAAAAAUGGAUGUUUGCAACAUUCAUAGUAAUUAUUUUCAGAAAAUUAAAAAUGAUUAAAAAUUAUAUUUUCAUCCCAUUCAGAUAUUAUAUAUUUAACUGUGAGAUAAUUCUCAGAGAUAAAUGUCAACUUUUAAAAAAUGCUAAAUAAAUUAAAUCAAAAUAUCCCCUCUAAAAUAAAUAAAUUAGCUCCGAUUAUUUCUUCUUUUUAAAUUUUUCCUUAUAGUUGUAAAAAUAAAGUGAACGUUUUGGCUCAUUUCCUCAUUAAAGUUUGAAUUUUCCAGUCA